rnacentral:lncRNA from 1 species
UAUAUUAGCUUCUCGUCUAAUCAACUCCACCCAAAGUAAGGGAAACGAGAUAAGAUAUGUUUGCACUAAGAUAUAACAACAUCUACUUCUGAUAAGUCAGAAGGUCUCCCACUCAAUCUAUCAACAACCCCCUUGGAAUCUAGCUCGAAAGUUACAUGAGUCAAGUUCAAUUCGAGCCCCCACCUUAUCGCUGAGUAGGCCCAAAGACUCUCAUUCUAGCACUGAGAUACAGAUACACUCCAUUAUGUUUUUGCCUUCAAGGCCUUUGUUUACAUAAUUACGUUAAAAUCGAUAGAAGUGGAAGGAAAUAAUAUACCACAUUAUUCUUUUUACAUUUUAGCAUUGUGCAUAAAUUGUCAAUCAUUUGUUUUUUCAAAAUUGUGGAUAAACUUUUGUUGAGAAAUAGAAAUAUCGCCCAUUAAUCGACUAAUUACUAAUAAUUAUUUUUCUAGAAAUUAUUGGUAAUCAUCUCAUUUUUAUAAUACUUUUUAUAUAAAUUUAAAAACUAUAUGAAACUUCAUUUUAAUAUUUAUGUAGACUAAAUAGAAAAAAAUUGAUGUCUUUCUAAAAAUGGAACCCUAGCUCGGCGGUUGCCCCUCUCGAACAUGCUCAGGACCGCCACCAGAAAAAAAAAAAAAAAAAAAAAAACUAAGUUUGAAUCUAAAGAAAGAACGUACCCCUCUUGACAAAGGUAUCAGCAACCUUAUUACACUCUCUUAAUAUAUGAGAGAAAACAACUUGCAUAUGCAUGGGGGAGGCCAAUAGCAAUUUAAAUAGUAUGAGUAAUCAUUUGCUCUUGAUGUUGAGGACUUG